GUGCCGAUUAGCUCAGUUGGUUAGAGCAUGGUGCUGAUAACACCAAGGUCACGGGUUCAAUCCCUGUUUGGUCCC
rnacentral:tRNA from 1 species